rnacentral:rRNA from 1 species
CCUACGUGAGGCAGCAGUGGGGAAUAUUGCACAAUGGGGGAAACCCUGAUGCAGCGACGCCGCGUGAGUGAAGAAGUAAUUCGUUAUGUAAAGCUCUAUCAGCAGGGAAGAAAAUGACGGUACCUGAGUAAGAAGUCCCGGCUAACUACGUGCCAGCAGCCGCGGUAAUACGUAGGGGGCAAGCGUUAGCCGGAUUUACUGGGUGUAAAGGGAGCGUAGACGGCAGUGCAAGUCUGGAGUGAAAGGCGGGGGCUCAACCCCCGGACUGCUCUGGAAACUGUACGGCUGGAGUGCAGGAGAGGUAAGUGGAAUUCCUAGUGUAGCGGUGAAAUGCGUAGAUAUUAGGAGGAACCCCAGUGGCGAAGGCGGCUUACUGGACUGUAACUGACGUUGAGGCUCGAAAGCGUGGGGAGCAAACAGGAUUAGAUACCCCAGUAGUC